rnacentral:lncRNA from 1 species
UUAACAGGAGUCAAGAAAUGCUGCCUCCCACAGAGACAAGACACUGGAACAACUGUGCAUAGCCUUCAGGAGAAGCAGUGUUUCCUUAUUCCUAUAAUGUUCAGAGCUUUCUGGGAACCAGGAACUGAAACUGGCUGAGGUGGUACCAGCAGGAUGACUGGCAUCCAUUCGCCUUGGUGAGAACAAGCAUCACUCUGCUCUCGCUGAGUUUCUGUUGUUUGGGUUGAUAAGCACUGUCUGGGAACUCACUCCAGGAAAGAUGCUGAGCCUGAAGACAGCCAAAACAGAGUUUUGCCAAAAAAGAAAAUAAAAGGGCCUGUGACAUUGCUGUCAUGUGGAACAUUACUGUAGGUGCUUGUGAUCCCUCAGAGGACAAUGGUCCCCUCUGCUGUGUAUCCUGGAGCAAUCCUUCCCAACAUACAUCCACCUCAGGGUAGUGCCUUAAUGCUGAUGAGUAGCCAAUUGCACUCAACUGCCUCCACCUGCCUUCUGCUGCUGGCUUUAUCUACAGCUGCCUCUGGUUCCCAUCUGUGCCUGUGGGCUCCCUCCUCCUGGUGCAGACCGUGGCUUCUUUCUGCUCCCCAGCUCUUCCUCGGAGCAACUGCCAUAAGGACAGACCCCUCCAGCCUGGUGCUGGCCCUGUUGGAGCCAGGGAGAGCUCAGACCGACGCUGUGCAGCCAGGCACUUCUGCCUUCCCUUCACCACACUGA